AGUGAACGCUGGCGGUAGGCCUAACACAUGCAAGUCGAACGGCAGCACAGUAAGAGCUUGCUCUUACGGGUGGCGAGUGGCGGACGGGUGAGGAAUACAUCGGAAUCUACUUUUUCGUGGGGGAUAACGUAGGGAAACUUACGCUAAUACCGCAUACGACCUACGGGUGAAAGCAGGGGAUCUUCGGACCUUGCGCGAUUGAAUGAGCCGAUGUCGGAUUAGCUAGUUGGCGGGGUAAAGGCCCACCAAGGCGACGAUCCGUAGCUGGUCUGAGAGGAUGAUCAGCCACACUGGAACUGAGACACGGUCCAGACUCCUACGGGAGGCAGCAGUGGGGAAUAUUGGACUAUGGGCGCAAGCCUGAUCCAGCCAUACCGCGUGGGUGAAGAAGGCCUUCGGGUUGUAAAGCCCUUUUGUUGGGAAAGAAAAGCAGCAGGUUAAUACCCCGCUGUUCUGACGGUACCCAAAGAAUAAGCAUCGGCUAACUUCGUG
rnacentral:rRNA from 1 species